rnacentral:rRNA from 1 species
UACGAAGGGGGCGAGCGUUGUUCGGAUUUACUGGGCGUAAAGGGUGCGUAGGCGGGUCUUUAAGUCAGGGGUGAAAUCCUGGAGCUCAACUCCAGAACUGCCUUUGAUACUGAGGAUCUUGAGUACGGGAGAGGUGAGUGGAACUGCGAGUGUAGAGGUGAAAUUCGUAGAUAUUCGCAAGAACACCAGUGGCGAAGGCGGCUCACUGGCCCGUAACUGACGCUGAGGCACGAAAGCGUGGGGAGCAAACAGG